GGCUUGCAGCUUCUCCUUCCCGCCAAGUUUCUCAUAAACCGAACGGAUCGAGCAGAAGGGAACCACAAACUAACUUCCUUCACAAAUAUAAUCAGAUGGAUUUGGUGGAAGCCCUUGGGUUCUCGAUCUUCUUAUCUGUCACAUAACCAGCGAGGACCCCGAGCCCGAAGAACAGGAUGGCAGAAUCAAGCGUGUCAAACCUUGUUCGGAAGAUCGAACUUCUCUUUGUUGGUCCAGUGAUUUUCUCCGGGAGCCCAUGAAGUCUGUUUGAAGUGGAUGGGUUCAGAGGAAACUGGAAGUUGAUCAGAGCAUAUCCUCUGGACUUUUCGGCAAUGUUUGAAGAUCUCAACCAGCGAGUUCGAUUCAACUGUUUGAAGACCUCAUGGGAUCAAGCAGUUGGAUAUGUUUGGUACGAUAACUCACCUUUUAUGUUGGCUACAUAUUCUGCUGUCAAAGGAGGUUUAUGUGCUUUUGAUUGCUGCAUUCGUUUGGACUCAGCGUCUACUUUUUAGGGGGAAAAAACCAGGAUCAUUGAAUUGGUAUACUCGUUUUGAUGUGCAAUUCGAUUGAAUGAAAGACUAUGGCGUGAAGUUCUGAAAA